rnacentral:rRNA from 1 species
UACGUAGGCAGCAAGCGUUAAUCGGAAUUACUGGGCGUAAAGCGUGCGUAGACGGCUAUUUAAGUCGGGUGUGAAAGCCCCGGGCUCAACCUGGGAAUUGCAUUCGAGACUGAGUAGCUAGGGUGCGGUAGAGGGAAGCGGAAUUUCCGGUGUAGCGGUGAAAUGCGUAGAUAUCGGAAGGAACAUCAGUGGCGAAAGCGGCUUCCUGGACCAGCACCGACGUUCAGGCACGAAAGCGUGGGGAGCAAACAGG